GUGGGGAAUAUUGGACAAUGGGCGAAAGCCUGAUCCAGCCAUGCCGCGUGUGUGAAGAAGGUCUUCGGAUUGUAAAGCACUUUAAGUUGGGAGGAAGGGCAGUAAGUUAAUACCUUGCUGUUUUGACGUUACCAACAGAAUAAGCACCGGCUAACUUCGUGCCAGCAGCCGCGGUAAUACGAAGGGUGCAAGCGUUAAUCGGAAUUACUGGGCGUAAAGCGCGCGUAGGUGGUUCAGCAAGUUGGAGGUGAAAUCCCCGGGCUCAACCUGGGAACGGCCUCCAAAACUACUGAGCUAGAGUACGGUAGAGGGUAGUGGAAUUUCCUGUGUAGCGGUGAAAUGCGUAGAUAUAGGAAGGAACACCAGUGGCGAAGGCGACUACCUGGACUGAUACUGACACUGAGGUGCGAAAGCGUGGGGAGCAAACAGGAUUAGAUACCCCUGUAGUCC
rnacentral:rRNA from 1 species